UCGGAACGUGCCCCGGAGUGGGGGAUAACGCCGCGAAAGCGGCGCUAAUACCGCAUAUGCUCUGAGGAGGAAAGCGGGGGACCUGUGAGGGCCUCGCGCUCUGGGAGCGGCCGAUGUCCGAUUAGCUAGUUGGUGGGGUAAUGGCUCACCAAGGCGACGAUCGGUAGCUGGUCUGAGAGGAUGAUCAGCCACACUGGGACUGAGACACGGCCCAGACCUCCUAGGGA
rnacentral:rRNA from 1 species